CUAUACAUGCAGUCGAGCGGACAGAAGGGAGCUUGCUCCCGGAUGUUAGCGGCGGACGGGUGAGUAACACGUGGGUAACCUGCCUGUAAGACUGGGAUAACUCCGGGAAACCGGAGCUAAUACCGGAUAGUUCCUUGAACCGCAUGGUUCAAGGAUGAAAGACGGUUUCGGCUGUCACUUACAGAUGGACCCGCGGCGCAUUAGCUAGUUGGUGGGGUAAUGGCUCACCAAGGCGACGAUGCGUAGCCGACCUGAGAGGGUGAUCGGCCACACUGGGACUGAGACACGGCCCAGACUCCUACGGGAGGCAGCAGUAGGGAAUCUUCCGCAAUGGACGAAAGUCUGACGGAGCAACGCCGCGUGAGUGAUGAAGGUUUUCGGAUCGUAAAGCUCUGUUGUUAGGGAAGAACAAGUGCGAGAGUAACUGCUCGCACCUUGACGGUACCUAACCAGAAAGCCACGGCUAACUACGUGCCAGCAGCCGCGGUAAUACGUAGGUGGCAAGCGUUGUCCGGAAUUAUUGGGCGUAAAGGGCUCGCAGGCGGUUUCUUAAGUCUGAUGUGAAAGCCCCCGGCUCAACCGGGGAGGGUCAUUGGAAACUGGGAAACUUGAGUGCAGAAGAGGAGAGUGGAAUUCCACGUGUAGCGGUGAAAUGCGUAGAGAUGUGGAGGAACACCAGUGGCGAAGGCGACUCUCUGGUCUGUAACUGACGCUGAGGAGCGAAAGCGU
rnacentral:rRNA from 1 species